GUUGUAUGGUUAAGUGACUAAGCGUACACGGUGGAUGCCUUGGCAAUCAGAGGCGAUGAAGGACGUGCUAAUCUGCGAUAAGCUUGGAUGAGUCGAUAAGAGGCGUUUAAUCCAAGAUGUCCGAAUGGGGAAACCCAGUAGAUGAAGAAUCUACUAUCACUUGUUGAAUACAUAGGCAAGUGAGGCAAACCGGGAGAACUGAAACAUCUAAGUACCCCGAGGAAAAGAAAUCAACCGAGAUUCCGUGAGUAGUGGCGAGCGAAAGUGGAAGAGCCUGUCAGUAAUAGCAGUUUUGUUAGAGGAAUGAGUUGGGAAGCUCAGCAAUAAAGGGUGAUAGCCCCGUACUCGAAAACAUUAUUGUGGUACUAAGCUGACGACAAGUAGGGCGGGACACGAGAAAUCCUGUUUGAAGAUGGGGGGACCAUCCUCCAAGGCUAAAUACUCCUGAUUGACCGAUAGUGAACCAGUACUGUGAAGGAAAGGCGAAAAGAACCCCAGUGAGGGGAGUGAAAUAGAACCUGAAACCGUGUACGUACAAGCAGUGGGAGCCCAAAAGGGUGACUGCGUACCUUUUGUAUAAUGGGUCAGCGACUUAUAUUUUGUAGCGAGGUUAACUGAAUAAGGGAGCCGAAGGGAAACCGAGUCUUAACUGGGCGUUGAGUUGCAAGGUAUAGACCCGAAACCCGGUGAUCUAGCCAUGGGCAGGUUGAAGAUUGGGUAACACUAAUUGGAGGACCGAACCGACUAAUGUUGAAAAAUUAGCGGAUGACUUGUGGCUGGGGGUGAAAGGCCAAUCAAACCGGGAGAUAGCUGGUUCUCCCCGAAAUCUAUUUAGGUAGAGCCUUGAGCGGACACCUUCGGGGGUAGAGCACUGUUUCGGCUAGGGGUCCAUCCCGGAUUACCAACCCGAUGCAAACUGCGAAUACCGAAGAGUGAUACUCAGGAGACACACGGUGGGUGCUAACGUCCAUCGUGGAGAGGGAAACAACCCAGACCGCCAGCUAAGGUCCCAAAGUCUAUAUUAAGUGGGAAACGAAGUGGGAAGGCUUAGACAGCUAGGAUGUUGGCUUAGAAGCAGCCACCAUUUAAAGAAAGCGUAAUAGCUCACUAGUCGAGUCGGCCUGCGCGGAAGAUGUAACGGGGCUAAAAUAUAGCACCGAAGCUGCGGCAUCAGUCGAAAGACUGUUGGGUAGGGGAGCGUUCUGUAAGCGGAUGAAGGUGAAUCGAGAGGUUUGCUGGACGUAUCAGAAGUGCGAAUGCUGACAUAAGUAACGAUAAAACGAGUGAAAAACUCGUUCGCCGGAAGACCAAGGGUUCCUGUCCAACGUUAAUCGGGGCAGGGUGAGUCGGCCCCUAAGGCGAGGCUGAAAAGCGUAGUCGAUGGGAAACGGGUUAAUAUUCCCGUACUUGGAUAAACUGCGAUGUGGGGACGGAGAAGGUUAGGUUAGCAGACUGUUGGAUGUCUGUUUAAGCCGGUAGGUGGGAAGUUUAGGCAAAUCCGGACUUCCUUAACACCGAGAAGUGAUGACGAGUCUCUACGGAGAUGAAGUAACUGAUACCACGCUUCCAGGAAAAGCCACUAAGCUUCAGGUUUAUCUAAACCGUACUGAAAACCGACACAGGUGGUCAGGUAGAGAAUACUCAGGCGCUUGAGAGAACUCGGGUGAAGGAACUAGGCAAAAUAGCACCGUAACUUCGGGAGAAGGUGCGCCGGCGUAGAUUGUAAUCCCUCGCGGAUGAAGGUUGAACCGGUCGAAGAUACCAGCUGGCUGCAACUGUUUAUUAAAAACACAGCACUCUGCAAACACGAAAGUGGACGUAUAGGGUGUGAUGCCUGCCCGGUGCUGGAAGGUUAAUUGAUGGUGUUAUCGAAAGAGAAGCUCCUGAUCGAAGCCCCAGUAAACGGCGGCCGUAACUAUAACGGUCCUAAGGUAGCGAAAUUCCUUGUCGGGUAAGUUCCGACCUGCACGAAUGGCAUAAUGAUGGCCAGGCUGUCUCCACCCGAGACUCAGUGAAAUUGAAAUCGCCGUGAAGAUGCGGUGUACCCGCGGCUAGACGGAAAGACCCCGUGAACCUUUACUAUAGCUUGACACUGAACAUUGAAUUUUGAUGUGUAGGAUAGGUGGGAGCCUUAGAAGCAGUCACGCCAGUGAUUGUGGAGGCGUCCUUGAAAUACCACCCUUUAACGUUUGAUGUUCUAACGAGGCGCCCUAAUCGGGUGUUCGGACAGUGUCUGGUGGGUAGUUUGACUGGGGCGGUCUCCUCCCAAAGAGUAACGGAGGAGCACGAAGGUUUGCUAAUCACGGUCGGACAUCGUGAGGUUAGUGCAAUGGUAGAAGCAAGCUUAACUGCGAGACAGACAAGUCGAGCAGGUGCGAAAGCAGGUCAUAGUGAUCCGGUGGUUCUGAAUGGAAGGGCCAUCGCUCAACGGAUAAAAGGUACUCCGGGGAUAACAGGCUGAUACCGCCCAAGAGUUCAUAUCGACGGCGGUGUUUGGCACCUCGAUGUCGGCUCAUCACAUCCUGGGGCUGAAGUAGGUCCCAAGGGUAUGGCUGUUCGCCAUUUAAAGUGGUACGCGAGCUGGGUUUAGAACGUCGUGAGACAGUUCGGUCCCUAUCUGCCGUGGGCGUUGGAGAAUUGAAAGGGGCUGCUCCUAGUACGAGAGGACCGGAGUGGACGCAUCCCUGGUGUUCCGGUUGUGUCGCCAGACGCAUUGCCGGGUAGCUACAUGCGGAAGAGAUAAGUGCUGAAAGCAUCUAAGCACGAAACUUGCCUUGAGAUGAGUUCUCCCAGUCUAUAAGACUGUAAGGGUUGUUGGAGACUACGACGUAGAUAGGCAUGGUGUGUAAGUGUAGUGAUACAUUGAGCUAACGUGUACUAAUUGCCCGAGAGGCUUAACUAUACAACCUCAAGCGUU
rnacentral:rRNA from 1 species